rnacentral:rRNA from 1 species
CCUACGGGGGACAGCAGUGAGGAAUAUUGGUCAAUGGGCGCGAGCCUGAACCAGCCAAGUCGCGUGAGGGAAGACGGUCCUACGGGUUGUAAACUUCUUUUGUCAGGGAGCAAUUGGGUCCACGCGUGGGCUUAGCGAGAGUACCUGAAGAAAAAGCAUCGGCUAACUCCGUGCCAGCAGCCGCGGUAAUACGGAGGAUGCGAGCGUUAUCCGGAUUUAUUGGGUUUAAAGGGUGCGUAGGCGGAAUAUCAAGUCAGCGGUAAAAAUUCGGGGCUCAACCCCGUCGUGCCGUUGAAACUGAUGGUCUUGAGUGGGCGAGAAGUAUGCGGAAUGCGUGGUGUAGCGGUGAAAUGCAUAGAUAUCACGCAGAACUCCGAUUGCGAAGGCAGCAUACCGGCGCCCAACUGACGCUGAAGCACGAAAGCGUGGGUAUCGAACAGGAUUAGAUACCCGUGUAGUC